GACGAACGCUGGCGGCGUGCUUAACACAUGCAAGUCGAACGGAAAGGCCCUGCUUGCAGGGUACUCGAGUGGCGAAGGGGCGAGUGACACGUGGGUGCUCUGCCAUGCACUUCGGCAUGAGCCUGGGCGACUGGGUCCAAUACCGGAUACCAGCUACUUUCAGUGGGUUGGUUGGAAAGUUUUUUGGGUGUUGAGUGAGUUCGCGGCCUAUCGGCUUGUUGGCGGGGUAAUGGGCUACCAAGGCGCCGACGGGUAGACGGCCAGAGAGGGUGGACGGCCACAUAGGGUCUGAGAGGCGGCCGAGACGCGUACGGGAGGCAGCAGUGGGGAAGAUUGCUCAAGGGGCGCAAGCCUGAUGCAGCGACGCCGCGUGUGGGAUAACGGCCUUCGUGUUAUAGACACCUAGCGCGAGGGACGAAGCUUGUUGUGACGGUACCUAGAGAAUAAGCACCGGCUAACUACGUG
rnacentral:rRNA from 1 species